rnacentral:lncRNA from 1 species
CCUUUCUUGCAGAUACAGAUUUCGAAAACGACAUUGUUUUUAUUUAAAAAUAAAUAAACCCCUAAUAACUUCAUCCCAUGUUCCAAAACCCACUGUCAUCCCACCAGGCACCAACGUCCAACCCCCAGCGGGUCACCGUCACCACUAUCUGCUACUCACCGCAGUCACAACGCGGCGAUGUGAUUACAGUUCAAUGCAAUUGUUUUCUCCUUACCUUUCAAUUCAUUCAUUGAGUUCUCUCCCUUUCUGUGUAUAUAAAUCUAUAUACAUAAAGAAACGCCCCCAUCUCACCAGUCACCACCGACCACUGAACAUCCACCUUUCCUCUCCCAUCGGAGUACUUCCAACUCCCCCGGCCCCAUCCCCCUUAGACCACUGCAACCUUCCUCUCCCUUCCCUCUCUCCACUAAUCCCCCAUCUCGGUAAAUCAGUGAGAGAGAGAGAGAGGUUGAAGUUGGGCGUUUAGAGAGAGAAACUGGAAUUGGGUGUUUUUUGUUGUAAAUAAUUGAAUUUCGGUUGUGUUGGCAUGGAUUGGGUUUUCAUGACGGUGUUUGAAUGGAUUUAUGGGUUGAUGUUGGUGGUCGAGUGUGGUGGUUGGAGAUGGAGGAGAGAGGGAUUUAGGAGCGGCUAGUGGAAGAGGAGAGAGAAGGCGCUGUGGCAGUUGGACGUAGAAAGCGAUUAUGCAGCGUUGGCGGCGAUUAUGCAGUGGUGGAGCCGGUGUAUAGACGGUGAUAAGAAAGGGAGGAGAGAGAGGAGAUAAUCAAUGGAAGAAAACCAAAAAAUAAUGGGUCUAAGUUUUUGGACGAACCGUGUAUC